rnacentral:rRNA from 1 species
GUGGGGAAUUUUGGACAAUGGGCGAAAGCCUGAUCCAGCCAUGCCGCGUGCAGGAUGAAGGCCUUCGGGUUGUAAACUGCUUUUGUACGGAACGAAAAGACUCCUUCUAAUAAAGGGGGUCCAUGACGGUACCGUAAGAAUAAGCACCGGCUAACUACGUGCCAGCAGCCGCGGUAAUACGUAGGGUGCAAGCGUUAAUCGGAAUUACUGGGCGUAAAGCGUGCGCAGGCGGUUAUAUAAGACAGAUGUGAAAUCCCCGGGCUCAACCUGGGAACUGCAUUUGUGACUGUAUAGCUAGAGUACGGUAGAGGGGGAUGGAAUUCCGCGUGUAGCAGUGAAAUGCGUAGAUAUGCAGAGGAACACCGAUGGCGAAGGCAAUCCCCUGGACCUGUACUGACGCUCAUGCACGAAAGCGUGGGGAGCAAACAGGAUUAGAAACCCGGGUAGUCC